UACGGGGGGUGCAAACGUUGCUCGGAAUUAUUGGGCGUAAAGGGUGCGUAGGUGGCGAGGUAAGUCGGAUGUGAAAGCUCGGAGCUCAACUCCGAAAUGGCAUUGGAAACUACCUUGCUCGAGGGUUGGAGGGGGGACUGGAAUUCUCGGUGUAGCAGUGAAAUGCGUAGAUAUCGAGAGGAACACCAGUGGCGAAGGCGAGUCCCUGGACAACUCCUGACACUGAGGCACGAAAGCUAGGGGAGCAAACAGG
rnacentral:rRNA from 1 species